rnacentral:rRNA from 1 species
UACGGGGGGGGCAAGCGUUGUUCGGAAUUACUGGGCGUAAAGGGCUCGUAGGUGGCCAACUAAGUCAGACGUGAAAUCCCUCGGCUUAACCGGGGAACUGCAUCUGAUACUGGAUGGCUUGAGUUUGGGAGAGGGAUGCGGAAUUCCAGGUGUAGCGGUGAAAUGCGUAGAUAUCUGGAGGAACACCGGUGGCGAAGGUGGCAUCCUGGACCAACACUGACACUGAGGAGCGAAAGCCAGGGGAGCAAACGGG